rnacentral:ncRNA from 13 species
GCUACUUUGGUGGAAUCGGUAGACACGACGCACUUAAAAUGCGUUACUUAUAAGUAUAAAAGUUCAAGUCUUUUAAGUAGCA